rnacentral:lncRNA from 10 species
GUUUUCUCCAUGUUGGUCAGGCUAGUCUCGAACUCCCGAACUCUCGUGAUCCGCCCGCCUUGCCCGCCCAAAGUGCUGGGAUUACAGGCGUGAGACACCACACUCAGCCUUAACUUUUUAAAAAUAUCGUUUGCUUUUUUUUUUAGAAUUAGACAGAGCCUUACCGCACUGUUAGUUUCCUUGGUAACCACCUCUAGUUCCCAACCCCUAGACCUCCUGUCCUCAGUCCCUAACUGCAGACCGUCUGAGGCACUCCCACACUCCCUGGCUCCAGGAAGAUGCCUUGCCGUGGUUCUCACCCCAGCCCCUGCGCUAUCUCAGUGCUCCACUCCAGAGCCCAUCGCCAGGUCCCAGACUGGGUGUCCUCAGCCCCUAAAGUCACAUCAUGGUCUUUUCAAAUCCAGUUGGGGGCAGGAAGGGUAUUCACAAGAUAAAACGUAUUCCCAGAGACAGAAGGGCGGGCUGGUUAGGAGUGUGGACUUUGAAGCCAGAAGGCUUGGUUUGAAAGCCAGGCUUUGUCACUUACUAGCCGUUUGACCUUGGGCAAGUGACUUAGCCUCUUUGAGUCUGUUUUAUCAUCCUUAAAAGAGAAAUAAAAAUAGAACCUUUCUGAAAGAGUUUUCACGAGAAUAGAUAUGUGUAAAAGUGCUUUAAGCAGCACCUGGCACUUGGGGAGCGUUCCUGGUCAAUAUUAUUGUUGUGGCCAUCCAUCUGUCCGCUCAUCUUCAGAUGUUUUGGCUUAGUCAGCAGUUAGUCUGGGAUUUUGUGAGUGAGGAAUUCAUGACUGCCACAAGCAAGAGCAUGUUUUUAAUUUGGUGUCUCUUCAAGUUUUUUCUUUCUUUUUUUUUUUUUUGAGACAGUCUGGCUCUGUCGUCCAGGCUGGAGUGCAGUGGUGCGAUCUCAGUACACUGCAACCUCCACCUCCCGCUUCAAGCGAUUUUCCUGCCUCAGCCUCCCCAGUAGCUGGGAUUACAGGCGCCCAUCAUCACGCCUGGCUAAUUUUUUGUAUUUUUAGUAGAGACAGGUUUUCACCAUGUUGGUCAAGCUCGUCUCAAACCCCUGAUCUCAAAUGAUCCACCCACCUCGGCCUCCCAAAGUACUGGGAGCACCCAGGCAUGAGCCACUACACCCAGCCCUAGAUUGACUCUUAAUCCAGAAGACAGAGAGGUUAAAUAACCUGUCCGUGGUCACAAAGCUAGUAAAUGGCAAAACCAGGACCAGGAACCCAAUCCAGACAGCCUGCUCCAGGGUCCGUGUGCUUACCCACUCUGCUGCCCUGCCUUGCAUGGGACUAGCCAGGCUCUGGCCAGACUGCCACUGAUGCCUAUGCCUGUACAGAUGGCUAGCUGCCUAGUUGGAGAAAUACGGGCUCCACUCUAAGAGGAGGCAGGGCCUGGGCCAUGGCACCUCGGCACAGGGCAAUGUGGACAAAGUCCCCAAGGCUGACACCACACAUUGGGAUUGUAGAAAGCGAUUUUUGGCUGGUUGAGGAAUUUUCCAGAAGGCCUGAGAGUCCAAGCAGGUAAAGUCCAGCCCAGAGUCAGGCCCACCAUUAAGAGGCCUCGUGCGGGUCCUGGGAGGGCAGCUUCAAGCAGUAUUGGGUGUCUCAGAAGGUAUGGACCAAGGGAGGAACGUUACUUGGCAGCUUUGCUCAGUGGAGUGUCUUUGGGUUGGGCACAACGGUUUCCAGGGUGUGCCUUUCCCUGUUCCUGGAAGCCCAGCAGCAGCCAAGAGCCCCAGGCCACGCCCAGUCCAGACUACCUGCUCCUCAGGAAGGGGCCUUAGCCAGCUGUGCAGGCCCUCUUCAGUUUGGGAAAAAGAACUUCAGGCUCUCAGCUGGUGACACCUUCUGAAUAACACAACCCCAAAUCCCUUCUAUUCAGCCAGUCUGAGCCAAGGAUGGGGUCAACCCGGGAGCCUCUGGUGUGGCCUGUAUUCCUUGAGGGGCCCUGAGUGGCUUGGAGAAGAAGCCCUCGGGCUGCUGAUGCCUUGCAGCUGGAGGGCAAGCAGGCUUCCCUCCCUGGUUCAAAAGGCUGCAGGGGAAGUCAGGAGGAACUUGGCUGAGAGGUUGGAGGUAGCCAGACAGUGAGAAAAGGGAAGAAGCCCAGGAUUCUAGAAGCACAAAGUGAGGCCACGAGCAGGAAAGGUGGGGACCAACUGAGGGAGGGAGAGGUGCUUUCCUGGGACCGGGAUGAGGCCAGAGGCCACUGCCAGAAAAGAUGCGUUCCCAGGCAGGCUUGACCCCACCUUCUUCUCACACGGCCUCUAAGCUGAUUCAGGGAAUAGCAUCCGAUAUCAAACCCAUCCUGCCUGAGAUUCUUCUGAUACUUUUUUUUUUUUGAGGCAGAGUCUUACUCUGUCACCCAGGCUGGAAUGUAAUGGCGUAGUCUCAGCUCACUGCAAGCUCCGCCUCCCGGGUUCAAACGAUUUUCCUGCCUCGGCCUCCCGAGUAGCUGGGACUACAGGCACGUGCCACCAUGCCCGGCUAAUUUUUGUAUUUUUAGUAGAGACGGGCUUUCACUAUGUUGGCCAAGCUGGUCUCAAACUCCUGACCUCGUGAUCCGCCCACCUCGGCCUCCCAAAAUGCUGGAUUACAGGCGUGAGCCACCGUGCCCGACCUAACUUUUAUUUUGAUAUAACAUAAAACUUAUUAGGUUGGUGCAAAAGUAAUUGCGGUUUUUGCAAUUAAAUGCGGUUUCUGCAAUACUUUCAAUUGCAAAAACUGCAAUUACUUUUGCACCAACCUAAUACAAACAAGUUGCAAGAAUAGUACAAAGUUCUCCUUUAUGCACUUCCUCCAUAUCACCAGUUAUUAGCAUGCCGCCCCAUUUGCUUUAUCCUUUGUGCAUUCUCUCUUGCUCUGCAUAUUUGGUUUCCAAGUCACACGAAAGUAAAUUGCAGACCUCAUGACCCUUAACUUCUAAAUAUCUCGAUGUGUAUUUCCUACAAACAAGGACAUUCUCUUACAUUAUCCAAAUUAGCUAAAUAGCAGGAAUACAAGGUUUUUGUCUAAUCUCCAGGCCAUAUUCAAAUUUUACCAAUUGUCCCAAUCUUUUAGCUUAAUUUUAUUCUUUCAUUAUUAUUAUUAUUAUUUUGAGACAGGGUCUUGCUCUGUCACCCAGGCUGGAGUGCAGUUGUGCGAUCUUGGCUCACUGCAGCCCCAAAUUCCCAGGCUCAGGUGAUCCUCCCACCUCAGUCUCCCGAGUAGCUGGAACCAAAGGUGCGCACCACCACGCCCAGCUAAUCUUUGGUUGUUUUUUUUUUUUUGUAGAGACGGGGUUUCACUGUGUUGCCCAGGCUGGUCUCAAACUCCUGGGCUGAAGCUAUCUGCCCACCUUGGCAUCCCAAAGUGUUGAGAUUACAGGCGUGAGCCACAAUGCCUGGCUUAUUCUCCUUUUUUUUUUUUUUUUUUUUUUUUUUUUUUUGAGACAGAGUCUUGCUCUGUCACCCAGACUGGAGUGCAAUGGUGCAAUCUCGGCUCACUGCAACCUCCACCUCCCAGGUCAAAGUGAUUCUCUUGCUUCAGCCUCCUGAGUAGCUGGGAUUACAGGCACCUGCCACCACGCCUGGCUAAUUUUUGUAUUUUUAGUAGAGAUGGGGUUUCACCAUAUUGACCGGGCUGGUCUUGAACUUCUGACCUUGUGAUCCACCCACCUCAGCCUCCCAAAGUGCUGGGAUUACAGGUGUGAGCCACCGUGCCCGGCCUUAUUCUCCUUUUUGAUGACUGUUUAAUCACACAGCUAAUACAUGAAUGCAGUCUCUGAAUAAAACAAUACAGACAAGGCCAAAGCAGUCCUCUUUGAACAGCACUCUCGCUCCCAGCCCCUCUCACCUUACACAGUGUCCCUGUAGAGUGUAAUGGGGGAAGAUGAGGAGCCUGUGCCACUAACUAGCUGUGUGACUUUGAGUAAGUUCCUUGAACUUUCUGUGUUUCUGUCAUCUGUAAAAUGAGGAUGAUGAUGAUAGUAAUGGCCACAUAGUUACUACAUAGUUGUAGGUAUUAAAUGAAUUCAUCCCAAUAAAACCCUGAGAACAGUGCCUAGCACGUAGGUAAUCAAUAAAUGUCCAUCAGGCGAGGUGACUCACGCCUAUAAUCCCAGCACUUUGGGAGGCUGAGGCGGGCAGAUGGCUUGAGUACAGGAGUUGGAGACCAACCUGGGCAACAUAGCGGGACCCCUGUCUCUACAAAGAGUUUAAAAACAAUAAUAAUAAUAAGUUGGGCGUGGUGGCACAUGCCGAUAGUCCCAGCUACUCAGGAGGCUGAGGCAGGAGGAUCGCUUGAGCCAAGGGAGUCGAAGCUCCAGUGAACUAUGAUCGCACUCCCCACUGGGCAACAGAGUGCGACCUUGUCUCUAAAAGACAACAACAAAAAAAAAACAAGCAAAAAAACAAAAAAGAACCAAAAAAAGCCCCAAAACAAAUACAUGUCCUCAGUUCUUAUGACCCUGUUUGACCUCACCCUGUGGGGAAACCCAAGGAAAUGCAAGAAGCAAACUAUCAACACUCCCCUCUA